GACGACGCUGGCGGCGUGCCUAACACAUGCAAGUCGAGCGAGUGAAUCUCCUUCGGGAGUGAAACUAGCGGCGGACGGGUGAGUAACACGUGGGCAACCUGCCUCAUAGAGGGGAAUAGCCUUUCGAAAGGAAGAUUAAUACCGCAUAAGAUUGUAGCUUCGCAUGAAGUAGCAAUUAAAGGAGCAAUUCGCUAUGAGAUGGGCCCGCGGCGCAUUAGCUAGUUGGUGAGGUAACGGCUCACCAAGGCGACGAUGCGUAGCCGACCUGAGAGGGUGAUCGGCCACAUUGGGACUGAGACACGGCCCAGACUCCCACGGGAGGCAGCAGUGGGGAAUAUUGCACAAUGGGGGAAACCCUGAUGCAGCAACGCCGCGUGAGUGAUGACGGCCUUCGGGUUGUAAAGCUCUGUCUUCAGGGACGAUAAUGACGGUACCUGAGGAGGAAGCCACGGCUAACUACGUG
rnacentral:rRNA from 1 species